rnacentral:rRNA from 1 species
GAUGAACGCUGGCGGCGUGCCUAAUACAUUCAAGUCGAGCGAACAGACGAGGAGCUUGCUCCUCUGACGUUAGCGGCGGACGGGUGAGUAACACGUGGAUAACCUACCUAUAAGACUGGGAUAACUUCGGGAAACCGGAGCUAAUACCGGAUAAUAUAUUGAACCGCAUGGUUCAAUAGUGAAAGACGGUUUUGCUGUCACUUAUAGAUGGAUCCGCGCCGCAUUAGCUAGUUGGUAAGGUAACGGCUUACCAAGGCAACGAUGCGUAGCCGACCUGAGAGGGUGGUCGGCCACACUGGCACUGAGACACGGUCCAGACUCCUACGGGAGGCAGCAGUAGGGAAUCUUCCGCAAUGGGCGAAAGCUUGACGGAGCAACGCCGCGUGAGUGAUGAAGGUCUUCGGAUCGUAAAACUCUGUUAUUAGGGAAGAACAAAUGUGUAAGUAACUAUGCACGUCUUGACGGUACCUAAUCAGAAAGCCACGGCUAACUACGUG